CGAACGCUGGCGGCGCGCUUAACACAUGCAAGUCGAACGUGAAGCCCGGGCUUGCCCGGGUGGAAAGUGGCGAACGGGUGCGUAACACGUGAGCAACCUGCCCCGAAGACCGGGAUAACAGCGGGAAACCGCUGCUAAUACCGGAUGCCCUCAUCAUGUCGCAUGGCGAGAUGAGGAAAUGGAUUCCGCUUCGGGAUGGGCUCGCGGUCUAUCAGCUUGUUGGUGAGGUAACGGCUCACCAAGGCUACGACGGAUAGCUGGUCUGAGAGGAUGUCCAGCCACACUGGGACUGAGACACGGCCCAGACUCCUACGGGAGGCAGCAGUGGGGAAUCUUGCACAAUGGGCGAAAGCCUGAUGCAGCGACGCCGCGUGCGGGA
rnacentral:rRNA from 1 species